UACGUAGGGUGCAAGCGUUGUCCGGAUUUAUUGGGCGUAAAGAGCUCGUAGGCGGUUCGAUAAGUCGGACGUGAAAUCUCCACGCUCAACGUGGAGGGGCCGUUCGAUACUGUCGUGACUCGAGUCCGGUAGGGGAGUGUGGAAUUCCCGGUGUAGCGGUGAAAUGCGCAGAGAUCGGGAGGAACACCCGUAGCGAAGGCGGCACUCUGGGCCGGUACUGACGCUGAGAAGCGAAAGCGUGGGGAGCAAACAGGG
rnacentral:rRNA from 1 species